GAGAGGAUGAUCAGCCACAUUGGGACUGAGACACGGCCCAAACUCCUACGGGAGGCAGCAGUUAAGAAUCUUGCGCAAUGGACGAAAGUCUGACGCAGCGACGCCGCGUGAAGGAUGAAGGCUUUCGGGUUGUAAACUUCGGUAGACUGGGAAGAAAAAGUAAGUUCGUUGAGGGCUUACAUUGACGGUACCAGUCUGAAGCCCCGGCUAAUACGUGCCAGCAGCCGCGGUAAUACGUAUGGGGCAAGCGUUGUUCGGAAUUAUUGGGCGUAAAGGGCUCGCAGGUGGUUUGUUAAGUUGGUGGUUUAAUCUCUGGGCUCAACCCAGAGUCAGCCUCCAAAACUGGCGAACUUGAGUAUGAUAGGGGAUAGCGGAAUUCUCGGUGUAGCGGUGGAAUGCGUAGAUAUCGCGAGGAACACCAAUGGCGAAGGCAGCUAUCUGGAUCGUAACUGACACUCAUGAGCGAAAGUGCGGGGAGCAAACAGGAUUAGAUACCCUGGUAGUCCGCACCGUAAACGUUGUAUACUAGUUGUUGGUGGUUUCAACGCCAUCAGUGACGUCGCUAACGCAUUAAGUAUACCGCCUGGGGAGUAUGCUCGCAAGGGUGAAACUCAAAGAAAUUGACGGGGGCCCGCACAAGCGGUGGAGCAUGUGGUUUAAUUCGACGAUACGCGAGAAACCUUACCUGGGUUUGACAUGGAUUUGACUGGGGUAGAGAUACCCCUUCCCGCAAGGGCAGAUUCACAGGUGUUGCAUGGUCGUCGUCAGCUCGUGUUGUGAGAUGUUGGGUUAAGUCCCGCAACGAGCGCAACCCCUAUCUUCUGUUGCCAUCAUUAAGUUGGGCACUCUGAAGAAACCGCCGGUGACAAACCGGAGGAAGGUGGGGAUGACGUCAGAUCAGCAUGGCCCUUAUAUCCAGGGCUACACACGUGCUACAAUGGCCGGUACAGAGGGACGCAAAGCCGCGAGGUGGAGCAAAUCCCACAAAGCCGGUCUCAGUUCGGAUUGUAGUCUGCAACUCGACUACAUGAAGUUGGAAUCGCUAGUAAUCGCAAAUCAUCAUGUUGCGGUGAAUACGUUCCCGGGCCUUGUACACACCGCCCGUCACACCACCCGAGUUGGAGGUACCCGAAGAGGCUGUUGCUAACCGCAAGGAAGCAGGUCGUUAAGGUAAAUUCGGCGAGGGGGGUGAAGUCGUAACAAGGUA
rnacentral:rRNA from 1 species